rnacentral:rRNA from 1 species
GACGAACGCUGGCGGCGUGCUUAACACAUGCAAGUCGAACGGUGAAGCUCCAGCUUGCUGGAGUGGAUCAGUGGCGAACGGGUGAGUAACACGUGAGCAACCUGCCCCUGACUCUGGAAUAAGCGCUGGAAACGGCGUCUAAUACUGGAUACGAGAAGGGUCCGCAUGGGCACUUUCUGGAAAGUUUUUCGGUUGGGGAUGGGCUCGCGGCCUAUCAGCUUGUUGGUGAGGUAAUGGCUCACCAAGGCGACGACGGGUAGCCGGCCUGAGAGGGCGACCGGCCACACUGGGACUGAGACACGGCCCAGACUCCUACGGGAGGCAGAAGUGGGGAAUAUUGCACAAUGGGCGAAAGCCUGAUGCAGCGACGCCGCGUGAGGGAUGACGGCCUUCGGGUUGUAAACCUCUUUCAGCAGGGAAGAAGCGAAAGUGACGGUACCUGCAGAAGAAGCACCGGCUAACUACGUG